rnacentral:rRNA from 1 species
AGUGCUGCAUGGCUGUCGUCAGCUCGUGUCGUGAGAUGUUCGGUUAAGUCCGCUAACGAGCGCAACCCUCGCUGUGUGUUAUAUGUGUCACACGGGACUGCCGGUACGUUAAGCCGGAGGAAGGUGGGGAUGAUGUCAAGUCAGCAUGGCCUUUAUAUCCUGGGCUACACACACGCUACAAUGGCCAACACAAUAGGGUUGCUAAGCCGCGAGGCGGAGCCAAUCCUGAAAGCAGGCCUCAGUUCAGAUUGCAGUCUGCAACUCGACUGCAUGAAGCCGGAGUUGCUAGUAACCGCAGGUCAGCAAUACUGCGGUGAAUACGUUCCCGGGUCUU